GGUUAAGCGACUAAGCGUACACGGUGGAUGCCCUGGCAGUCAGAGGCGAUGAAGGACGUGCUAAUCUGCGAAAAGCGUCGGUAAGGUGAUAUGAACCGUUACAGCCGGCGAUGUCCGAAUGGGGAAACCCAGUGCAAUUCGUUGCACUAUCGUUAACUGAAUACAUAGGUUAACGAGGCGAACCGGGGGAACUGAAACAUCUAAGUACCCCGAGGAAAAGAAAUCAACCGAGAUUCCCCCAGUAGCGGCGAGCGAACGGGGAGCAGCCCAGAGUCUGAAUCAGCUUGUGUGUUAGUGGAACGGUCUGGAAAGUCCGACGGUACAGGGUGAUAGUCCCGUACACCAAAAUGCACAGGCUGUGAACUCGAAGAGUAGGGCGGGACACGUGGUAUCCUGUCUGAAUAUGGGGGGACCAUCCUCCAAGGCUAAAUACUCCUGACUGACCGAUAGUGAACCAGUACCGUGAGGGAAAGGCGAAAAGAACCCCGGCGAGGGGAGUGAAAAAGAACCUGAAACCGUGUACGUACAAGCAGUGGGAGCACCCUUUAGGGUGUGACUGCGUACCUUUUGUAUAAUGGGUCAGCGACUUAUAUUCUGUAGCAAGGUUAACCGUAUAGGGGAGCCGCAGGGAAACCGAGUCUUAACUGGGCGUUAAGUUGCAGGGUAUAGACCCGAAACCCGGUGAUCUAGCCAUGGGCAGGUUGAAGGUUGGGUAACACUAACUGGAGGACCGAACCGACUAAUGUUGAAAAAUUAGCGGAUGACUUGUGGCUGGGGGUGAAAGGCCAAUCAAACCGGGAGAUAGCUGGUUCUCCCCGAAAGCUAUUUAGGUAGCGCCUCGUGAACUCAUCUUCGGGGGUAGAGCACUGUUUCGGCUAGGGGGUCAUCCCGACUUACCAACCCGAUGCAAACUACGAAUACCGAAGAAUGUUAUCACGGGAGACACACGGCGGGUGCUAACGUCCGUCGUGAAGAGGGAAACAACCCAGACCGCCAGCUAAGGUCCCAAAGUCACAGUUAAGUGGGAAACGAUGUGGGAAGGCACAGACAGCCAGGAUGUUGGCUUAGAAGCAGCCAUCAUUUAAAGAAAGCGUAAUAGCUCACUGGUCGAGUCGGCCUGCGCGGAAGAUGUAACGGGGCUAAACUGUGCACCGAAGCUGCGGCAGCGACACUAUGUGUUGUUGGGUAGGGGAGCGUUCUGUAAGCCUGCGAAGGUGGCCUGUGAGGGUUGCUGGAGGUAUCAGAAGUGCGAAUGCUGACAUAAGUAACGAUAAUGCGGGUGAAAAGCCCGCACGCCGGAAGACCAAGGGUUCCUGUCCAACGUUAAUCGGGGCAGGGUGAGUCGACCCCUAAGGCGAGGCCGAAAGGCGUAGUCGAUGGGAAACAGGUUAAUAUUCCUGUACUUGGUGUUACUGCGAAGGGGGGACGGAGAAGGCUAUGUUAGCCGGGCGACGGUUGUCCCGGUUUAAGCAUGUAGGCGGAGGUUCCAGGUAAAUCCGGUACCUUUUAACGCUGAGGUGUGAUGACGAGGCACUACGGUGCUGAAGUAACAAAUGCCCUGCUUCCAGGAAAAGCCUCUAAGCAUCAGGUAACAUUGAAUCGUACCCCAAACCGACACAGGUGGUCAGGUAGAGAAUACCAAGGCGCUUGAGAGAACUCGGGUGAAGGAACUAGGCAAAAUGGUGCCGUAACUUCGGGAGAAGGCACGCUGAUAUGUAGGUGAAGCCCCUGCGGGUGGAGCUGAAAUCAGUCGAAGAUACCAGCUGGCUGCAACUGUUUAUUAAAAACACAGCACUGUGCAAACACGAAAGUGGACGUAUACGGUGUGACGCCUGCCCGGUGCCGGAAGGUUAAUUGAUGGGGUUAUCCGUAAGGAGAAGCUCUUGAUCGAAGCCCCGGUAAACGGCGGCCGUAACUAUAACGGUCCUAAGGUAGCGAAAUUCCUUGUCGGGUAAGUUCCGACCUGCACGAAUGGCGUAAUGAUGGCCAGGCUGUCUCCACCCGAGACUCAGUGAAAUUGAACUCGCUGUGAAGAUGCAGUGUACCCGCGGCAAGACGGAAAGACCCCGUGAACCUUUACUAUAGCUUGACACUGAACAUUGAGCCUUGAUGUGUAGGAUAGGUGGGAGGCUUUGAAGCGUGGACGCCAGUCUGCGUGGAGCCAACCUUGAAAUACCACCCUUUAAUGUUUGAUGUUCUAACGUUGGCCCCUGACCGGGGUUGCGGACAGUGUCUGGUGGGUAGUUUGACUGGGGCGGUCUCCUCCCAAAGAGUAACGGAGGAGCACGAAGGUUAGCUAAUCCUGGUCGGACAUCAGGAGGUUAGUGCAAUGGCAUAAGCUAGCUUGACUGCGAGCGUGACGGCGCGAGCAGGUGCGAAAGCAGGUCAUAGUGAUCCGGUGGUUCUGAAUGGAAGGGCCAUCGCUCAACGGAUAAAAGGUACUCCGGGGAUAACAGGCUGAUACCGCCCAAGAGUUCAUAUCGACGGCGGUGUUUGGCACCUCGAUGUCGGCUCAUCACAUCCUGGGGCUGAAGUAGGUCCCAAGGGUAUGGCUGUUCGCCAUUUAAAGUGGUACGCGAGCUGGGUUUAGAACGUCGUGAGACAGUUCGGUCCCUAUCUGCCGUGGGCGCUGGAGAAUUGAGGGGGGCUGCUCCUAGUACGAGAGGACCGGAGUGGACGCAUCACUGGUGUUCGGGUUGUCAUGCCAAUGGCAUUGCCCGGUAGCUAAAUGCGGAAGAGAUAAGUGCUGAAAGCAUCUAAGCACGAAACUUGCCCCGAGAUGAGUUCUCCCUGAGACUUUAAGUCUCCUGAAGGAACGUUAAAGACGAUGACGUUGAUAGGUCGGGUGUGUAAGCGUAGCGAUACGUUGAGCUAACCGAUACUAAUGAACCGUGAGGCUUAACCUU
rnacentral:rRNA from 1 species